UACGUAGGUGGCAAGCGUUGUCCGGAAUUAUUGGGCGUAAAGCGCGUGUAGGCGGUCUGUUAUGUCGGGUGUGAAAGCCCUCAGCUUAACUGAGGAAGUGCGCCCGAAACUGGCAGACUUGAGUGCUGGAGAGGAGAGCGGAACACCCGGUGUAGAGGUGAAAUUCGUAGAUAUCGGGUAGAGCACCAGUGGCGAAGUCGGCUCUCUGGACAGACACUGACGCUGAGACGCGAAAGCGUGGGGAGCAAACAGG
rnacentral:rRNA from 1 species